rnacentral:rRNA from 1 species
UACGUAGGGAGCAAGCGUUGUUCGGAAUUACUGGGCGUAAAGGGCUCGUAGGCGGCCAACUAAGUCGGACGUGAAAUCCCCAGGCUCAACCUGGGAACUGCGUCCGAUACUGGAUGGCUUGAAUUCGGGAGAGGGAUGCAGAAUUCCAGGUGUAGCGGUGAAAUGCGUAGAUAUCUGGAGGAAUACCGGUGGCGAAGGCGGCAUCCUGGACCGACAUUGACGCUGAUGAGCGAAAGCUAGGGGAGCAAACGGG